rnacentral:rRNA from 1 species
AGUGGAUGGGGAGCAACCUAGUUGUGCGUGUGUAAAGGUAGUGCCAAGAAAAGCGAUGAUCAUGUUGAAAAUCAAUUCCCGGUACCCGAAACCGACACAGGUGGGCAAGUAGAGAAUACUAAGGGGCGCGAGGUAACUCUCUCCAAGGAACUCGGCAAAAUGACCCCGUAACUUAGGGAGAAGGGGUGCCACCGAGAGGUGGUCGCAGUGAAGAGGCCCAGGCGACUGUUUAGCAAAAACAUAGGUCUCUGCAAACUCGAAAGAGGAGGUAUAGGGGCUGACGCCUGCCCAGUGCCGGAAGGUUAAAGAAGUUGGUCAGUUUUAGGAUGAAGCUAGCGACUGAAGCCCCGGUGAACGGCGGCCGUAACUAUAACGGUCCUAAGGUAGCGAAAUUCCUUGUCGGGUAAGUUCCGACCCGCACGAAAGGCGUAACGAUCUGGGCGCUGUCUCGGAGAGAGGCUCGGCGAAAUAGGAUUGCCUGUGAAGAUACGGACUACCUGCAUUUGGACAGAAAGACCCUAUGAAGCUUUACUAUAGCUUGGAAUUGUGUUCGGGCUUCCUGUGCGCAGGAUAGGUGGGAGGCGUAGAAGGUAUUCUUGUGGGGAUACUGGAGCCAACGGUGAGAUACCACUCUCAGGAGGCUAGAAUUCUAACUUAAUUAAGGACAGUUUCAGGUGGGUAGUUUGACUGGGGCGGUCGCCUCCAAAAAGGUAACGGAGGCGUACAAAGGUUCCCUCAGACUGGUUGGAAAUCAGUCGAAGAGUGCAAAGGCAGAAGGGAGCUUGACUGCGAGAAGUACAGUUCGAGCAGGGUGGAAACACGGUCUUAGUGAUCCGACGGUGCUGUGUGGAAGGGCCGUCGCUCAACGGAUAAAAGUUACUCUAGGAUAACAGGCUGAUCUCCCCCAAGAGUUCACAUCGACGGGGAGGUUUGGCACCUCGAUGUCGGCUCAUCGCAACCUGGGGCGGAAGUACGUCCCAAGGGUUGGGCUGUUCGCCCAUUAAAGCGGUACGUGAGCUGGGUUCAGAACGUCGUGAGACAGUUCGGUCCAUAUCCGAUGUAGGCGUGAGAAUAUUGAGAGGAGCCUUCCUUAGUACGAGAGGACCGGGAAGGACGCACCGCUGGUGUACCUGUUAUGAUGCCAAUUGUAAACGCAGGGUAGCCAAGUGCGGAGAGGAUAACCGCUGAAAGCAUCUAAGUGGGAAGCCCACCUCAAGAUGAGUAUUCUGGUGUAAGGUCACGGGAAGACGACCCGUAAAUAGGCACGAGGUGGAAGUGCAGAGAUGUAUGAAGCCGAAGUGUACUAAUAGACCGUCGGCUUGAC